CUAUGCGCCUUGCCAGCCCGCUCAGGUGUGCCAGCCGCCGCGGUAAUACGUAUGGUGCAAGCGUUAUCCGGAUUUACUGGGUGUAAAGGGAGCGCAGGCGGCGCGGCAAGUCUGAUGUGAAAGCCCGGGGCCCAACCCCGGGACUGCACUGGAAACUGCCGUGCUGGAGUGUCGGAGGGGUAAGCGGAAUUCCUGGUGUAGCGGUGAAAUGCGUAGAUAUCAGGAGGAACACCGGUGGCGAAGGCGGCUUACUGGACGAUGACUGACGCUGAGGCUCGAAAGCGUGGGGAGCAAACAGG
rnacentral:rRNA from 1 species